rnacentral:misc_RNA from 1 species
UCCUUUAAGCUCAAAAUAUCUCAGGUGGUUGUAGACUUGAAAAGUGGCUUCUGGUUACUUACCUAGAUAGUGUUAGGAGUUAAACAUAUGUUUUUGUUUUUUUUCGCAUGGGCUUAUUCCCCUACCCCACUCUCCAUCCCUCCUCCUUGCUUUCUGUUUUCUGGAAAGGAUGUUCUUAGAUAAAACUGGCAAUACGCAAUUUUUAUUUUCUAUCUGGUUUAGAAAUGUUUACAACAUCCUAUCAUGAUGAUGGUAUAAAUGCAAGCUAACUUGUGGUUGGCAGGUGGUUCUUUUCCUUGCAUCAUUUCCAGGAUUUGAUACAUAAAUAUGCAUACAGUUGGUUAUGCUAUGCCCUAGACAACCUACUAAUAUGCUUGCAUGCUGGCAUAUUUGUAAAACUUGUGUAUUUUCGUGAUUUUGAUAAGCAACCUAUUGAGGCAUAGUUGCUCUAGAUGGCCAAUAUGAUUGUCACCAUAGUGCUUGAAUGAUAAUGCAGUUGGUUCCUAGGUUUGGAUUUACUUAUUUGGGUGAUUUUAUGAGUUGGAGACACAUGUUUGUUGGAAACUUUGCCAUUUUCUUGUCUAGGCUGUUAUUAUUUUCUUUGCGUUCUAUAUUGUUCCUUAAAGGUCACCCAAAACAAUCAGUCCAGUGUAAUGUUUGGCUUCAUGUUUGUUUUCUUGGAGGCAAUACUAUUAGAAAUUUAGAUGCCAAGAGAAAGAUUACACUUGUGGGGCGUUUGGUAUAAGUUUAACAAGGGAUAAUUAUUACCCUUGUAACUUUUACCCCCUUAUUAAUGUUGGUUGGAUAUUUAAAGAGAUUAGGUUAAUUUUUCAUCUCAUUAAAGGAGUUAAAUGUUAACCUUGGAGGGUCUAGAUUAAUAAUUACCUUCUUUAAAGGUUAAAACUCACAAUAAUAAUAUUUAACCUUUGAUUUUUUAACAAUCUACCAAACACACCCUUAACAGUGCAACGACAAUGUCUUCUUUUUAUGAUCUGGAUUAGGUUUGCUGGACCAUUGUAGUGCUUUGUCUUAUUGUCAUCUGAAUUUGGGACUACUGUGCUUCUGACUACUUCAAAAGAACUUAUCUUGUUUUCAUUUGGAUUGUGCAUCUGCAUAGAAGGAUUUUUAAAUCUCAUGUUUCUCGCUUAACUACUGGUUUAUACCUUGAGUUAGCUGGCAUGUUGUUGACAUAGGAUUAGUAAAGGUUUUUUUAUUUGAUGUGAUAAAAGGUUCAUUUUGAAAUGUUAUAAUGAAAAAUCAUGGAAGACUCCUCACCAUGUUUUUUUAUGUAGAGAAUGAGGAAUGAGGAUCUUCAAAGACCCUAAUUUCCGUGAUUAAUUCUUUCUCAGUGUGCUUUUUAUAUCCCGUGGAGGUGUGAUGAUUCUGGAAUAGAUGCACACGGCAAUUUGGUUGCUUUUUGAUGGUAUACGAAUGAUGGUGCUUUAGUUUGAUCCCUUGGAGUAGUCAUGCAGAGACAGAUAUAUGGCCCUGGGGAUUAGUUAAUAGAUCACAUGGUUUGAUAAAUUCAGCAAUUAAUUUUUACCUUUAGGCCAAAAUAAUGCAGAAACUGAACCUGAAAUUUCAGAGAGUAGGUUCAUUGUACACUGGCUGUGAGCAUAUGCUGCUAGUUUGUGUAUUUCCUCUUUUGGACUGAGUUCCUUGCAAUGCCAUUACUGAUCUCGUGUGCGUAUUAACUCCACAACUAACAUUUAGCAUCAUUAUGUUAUGUUGAUUGAUGUAAAGUUGUUGAAAAUAAUACUGAUUGUGGGGAAAAUUCUGCUUGUUUGUGUGUUGUCCUUUUUUGUCAUAGGUAUACAGUAUGAUUAACUGAUCUUGUUCUUCCCCAACUGCAGGACCAGGAAUGGUGAUGUUGUAUCAGCCUGUGUUUAAGUAUUUGCUAGAAACUAAUUUUCUUUGGUUGUUUUAUUGUCACUGAUAGAGAAAUUGAUGAGAAGAUCCUAAACUAUCUUUUUAUUAACCUCCUUACCCAUAAAUUUUUCAAAAUUAUGAAUUAAAUUAAAAAAAAAAUCUUUGAUAUAUUGUCCUCAUCUGCAUCAAUUGGCCUCUGUAAUAUUUUUGGGAACUGUGCAUUAUGAUUUAUCCUGUAUAUUUGUUCUGUUAUAUGAUCUUCUGACUUUUGUUUUUACCAGUCAUUUGGUUAUUAAGACAUAUCAAGAAAUCAAUGACGUGCCUUAUGGAGAUUAUUUUCGUGUUGAGGUACAAAGCCAUUGCUGAGCCAUCGUGACACAUACUAAUUGAAUAUAAUAUUUUUGGCUUCCCUACUUUUCAAUGUGUUAACAUUCUCAAAAUGUCCUAUUUAAGAAAUGCAAUGUGAGUCAUGGCCUUUUUUUUAAUGUUAAGGAUUAAUCAACUAUGGUGAAGUAAGAAAUGUGUACCUGGUUAUCUAUUGGAGUGUUUAUGUUGAGGUUUGAGGUUAUUUAGAUGUGUUGGGGACUUGGGACUUCAGGAAGUCAUGACACAGCCAAGAUUCUGUUGCAUCAUGUUUGCUGAUUUAUAAUAUGAAUCAAGCAGGUGUGAUGGAUGGAUACUGUGUUCUUUUUCCCACUGCCAUUUCAUCUUCUUCAAUCUCUUUCCUCACCUACUUCACUUCUUCCAUAUUCAGAGUGAAUUAUGUUCGGUUCAUUUAACAGGGAAUCUGUAAGCAGUCAUACCUUGUACUAAUAGGAAAUCGACAAAUGUUGAAGUCCUUAAUGUUUGAUCAUCUUUCUCAUUCUUGUGAUCUAUUUUCUUCUGCUAUAAUCUGCUCUUCGCUGAGCGGAAUUUUUAGAAAUGUACCUUGUAAUUCAGCAUUGUUAACAGUAUAGAUCUUUGCAAUUUAAUGCAUUUCAUUAAACUGAACAUUCCGGAAAUCUAAUGGAAUUCUUAAAAGAUAUUGUAUCUGGUUUUAAUAUAGGGGCUGUGGGACGUAGUUAAAGAUGGUGAUGAAUCAAAUGAAGGCUGUAUUUUGCGGAUAUAUAUGGAUGUGGCAUUCAGCAAGAAAACUGUUUUCAAAGGGAAAAUAGUGCAGUCUACCUUGGACGAGUGUCGUGAAGCUUAUGCAAUAUGGAUAAAUAUGGUAAUUUUGUUAUCUCUCUAGGUGUAUGUUAUUUAAUUUUCUUUUUAUUUUUGUUGGACUGUAUUGAGUUUAGAUAUUAACUAUACUUACAGGCACAUGAAAUGUUGAAGCAGAAGAACCUUGAAAGACAAGAAGGUUUAAAGGGCGAAAUAUUAAUUUAAACGAUCUUAUGUUCUUGAUGUUUUAUGCUUUGGGAAGUAUUGAAGAUAAUGCAAUCGCUAACUUUUGAUAAUGUUCUAAUUUACUUGAGCAGAAGGUCCUUUUACUAGUUUGAUUCAGAAUGGUGAAGCGAAUUUGUUAAGUGAAGUGAAAACUGGGGAAGCCUCAGAUAGGUCAACAAGCCAGUUAAAUGACCAUGGAAGGAUGGCACAGAUGUCUGGUUCGUUGGAUGUUAAUGAUAGGGUUGGUAACCUUGUGCAAGGAAAUUUCAUGAAUGCUACAACAGUUGCAUCUUUGUUGGGAGAAUAUGUGGCAAAAUUCUGUACAUAUUUGAAAAGUCAGAGCCAAAUUACCUUGAUCUUAGUUGUUGCAUUUGCUGUGAUCUUCCUGAUGCAGGUAUGCAGAUACCCAUCAUUUCUUGCAGUGAUUGGUAGAAUUGUCAAUACAGUUGUAGUGUUUGAUGAGCAACCUGGCAUGACAUUUUGUAAUUAGUUGGUUCUAUGGCUAAUGAAUUUCCUGUGUCAUGUAUCUUGUGCAUAGUUAAUUGUGCUUCCUAGGCUUUCAGCAAUGUACCCCACAAACUUUAGCGUUGUUCAACAUGCUCCUUCCACAUUUCCCUUGCCUAGGCCCAUGUUUUGCCAUGCGAUCAGAAGACUGGAUUCCUUAUAAGUCUCUACCUUAUAAACCAAAUGACCAAUAAUUGUUAUUUUUCACCAACUCACAUUCUAAAUCUCAUGUAACCAGCAGAUCAGGGUAUAAAUAAGCUCUUUCUGCAUUUAUUCUGAUUUACUUUUGUGUAAAUUAUCUUUACCCAGCUAUUACAACGCCACCCUUCUCUAUAUUCUCACUAUAUUCGUGUAAUUUGCAGGUGAGCAUCCUUGUCCUAUUGAACAGACCCCAAAAUGUUCAUGUGGCUCCUUCGGGAAACUAUUACAUAGGCAGCAUGGGUGGUGGAAUAGGCGAAAGAUCAGCUGAAGCUGUGGCUUGGUUAGAGAGGCGGAUGCACCACCUUAAGGAUGAGAUGUUUAUGGUUGAGGCGCAGCUGGAGAGAUUGCGGCAUGAGCACAAUUGGUUGAAAGCACAGUUGAAAGAUCUUGAUGGUCUUAGAAAGCGUAAAUAACCCAAUUUGUAUACAUCACAAUUUCUUGUUAGUAAAUGUUCUUUUUGCUUUUCAUUUUUUCCCUCAAAAUUAUCUGGUUUUUUAUUUGGACAGUUUACAGUAAAUAAUUGACGGCCAAAGUGAAACUCUA